CAGAGAGAGUUCGAUUGUAGCUCAGUUGAACGCUGGCGGGAUGCUUUACACACAUGCAAGUCGAACGGCAGCACGGACUUCGGUCUGGUGGCGAGUGGCGAACGGAGUGAUAAUGUAUCGGAACGUGCCUAGUAGCGGGGGAUAACUACGCGAAAGCGUAGCUAAUGCCGCAUACAUCAGAAGCAGGGGACCUUCGGGCCUCGCACUAUUAGAGCGGCCGAUAUCGGAUUAGCUAGUUGGUGGGGUAACGGCUCGCAAGGCGACGAUCCGUAGCUGGUUUGAGACGACCAGCCACACUGGAGCUGAGACACGGCCCAGACUCCUACGGGAGGCAGCAGUGGGGAAUUUUGGACAAUGGGGAAACCCUGAUCCAGCCAUCCCGCGUGUGCGAUGAAGGCCUUCGGGUUGUAAAAGCACUUUUGGCAGGAAAGAAACGGCACGGGAUAAUACCCCGUACAACUGACUGACCUGCAGAAUAAGUACCGGCUAACUACGUGCCAGCAUCGCGGUAGCCUGCGUAGGGUGCAAGCGUUAAUCGGAAUUACUGGGCGUAAAGCGUGCGCGGGCGGUUCCGGAAGAAAGAUCGUAAAUCCAGAGCUUAACUUUGGAACUGCAUUUAACUACCGAGCUAGAGUGUGUCAGAGGGAGGUGGAAUUCCGCGUGUAGCAGUGAAAUGCGUAGAUAUGCGGAGGAACACCGAUGGCGAAGGCAGCCUCCUGGGAUAACACUGACGCUCAUGCACGAAAGCGUGGGAGCAAACGGGAUUAGAUACCCUGGUAGUCCACGCCCUAAACGAUGUCAACUAGCUGUUGGGGCCUUCGGGACGCCGUUAGCGCAGCUAACGCGUGAAGUUGACCGCCUGGGGGAAAUCAGUGCAGAGAUUAAAACUCGAGAAUUGACGGACCCGCACAAGCGGUGGAUGAGGUGGAUUAAUUCGAUGCAACGCGAAAACCUUACCUACCCUUGACGCAUGUCUGGAAUCCGAAGAUUGGGAGUGCUCGCAAAGAGAACCGGAACACAGGUGCUGCAUGGCUGUCGUCAGCUCGUGUCGUGAGAUGUUGGGUUAAGUCCACAACAGCGAGCGCAGCCCUUAUCAUUACGUUGCCCCGAAGGGCACUCUAAUGAAGCUGCCGGUGACAAACCGGAGGAAGGUGGGGAUGACGUCAAGUCCUCAUGGCCCUUAUGGGUAGGGCUUCACACGUCAUACAAUGGUCGGGACAAGGGUGCAACCCGCGAGGGAGUAAUCCCAGAGCCGAUCGUAGUCCGGAUCGCAGUCUGGCUUCGACUGCGUGAAGUCAGAAUCGCUAUUAAUCGCGGAUCAGCAUGUCGCGGUGUGAUCGUUCCAGGUCUUGUACACACCGCCCGUCACACCAUGGGAGUGGGUUUACCGAAGUAGUUAGCCUAACCGUAAGGAGGGCGAUUACCACGGUAGGAUUCAUGACUGGGGUGAAGUCGUAACAAGGUAG
rnacentral:rRNA from 1 species